rnacentral:rRNA from 1 species
CCCUUAGAUGUCCUGGGCUGCGCGCGCGCUACACUGGAAGUUACGGAUUGAGAUACUACCUUGUCCGAAAUGGUCCGGGUAAUCACCUAAAAGCUUGUCAUAAUUGGAAUGGAUUAUUGUAACUAGUAAUCCUGAACGAGGAAUUCCUAGUAAGUCCCAGUCAACAGCUGGUACUGAUUACGUCCCUGCCCUUUGUACACACCGCCCGUCGCUACUACUGAUUGGACGUUUAAGCAAGAUUUUUAAACACUGACAGUGUGUAGUUCACGCUAUACUACAGUGAGAAGAAGAAGAUCGAGCUUACUUGUCUAGAGGAAGUAAAAGUCGUAACA